ACUCAAAUGAAUAGACGGGGGCCCGCACAAGCGGUGGAGCAUGUGGUUCAAUUCGACGCAACGCGAAGAACCUUACCGGGGCUCGAACGGUAACUGCAACUCCUGGAAACAGGGGGUCCUCUUCGGAGGCGGUUAUCGAGGUGCUGCAUGGCUGUCGUCAGCUCGUGUCGUGAGAUGUUGGGUUAAGUCCCGCAACGAGCGCAACCCUUGCCCUUAGUUGCUACCAGGUUAAGCUGAGCACCCUAAGGGAACUGUCGGCGAAAAGCCGGAGGAAGGUGGGGAUGACGUCAAGUCCUCAUGGCCCUUACGUCCCGGGCUACACACGUGCUACAAUGGUCGGUACAAAGGGUUGCCAACCCGCGAGGGGGAGCUAAUCCCAAAAAGCCGAUCUCAGUUCGGAUUGCAGUCUGCAACUCGACUGCAUGAAGGCGGAAUCGCUAGUAAUCGCAGAUCAGCACGCUGCGGUGAAUACGUUCCCGGGCCUUGUACACACCGCCCGU
rnacentral:rRNA from 1 species